rnacentral:rRNA from 1 species
GGUGAACGCUGGCGGUAGGCCUAACACAUGCAAGUCGAACGGCAGCACAGUAAGAGCUUGCUCUUACGGGUGGCGAGUGGCGGACGGGUGAGGAAUACAUCGGAAUCUACUUUUUCGUGGGGGAUAACGUAGGGAAACUUACGCUAAUACCGCAUACGACCUACGGGUGAAAGCAGGGGAUCUUCGGACCUUGCGCGAUUGAAUGAGCCGAUGUCGGAUUAGCUAGUUGGCGGGGUAAAGGCCCACCAAGGCGACGAUCCGUAGCUGGUCUGAGAGGAUGAUCAGCCACACUGGAACUGAGACACGGUCCAGACUCCUACGGGAGGCAGCAGUGGGGAAUGUUGGACAAUGGGCGCAAGCCUGAUCCAGCCAUACCGCGUGGGUGAAGAAGGCCUUCGGGUUGUAAAGCCCUUUUGUUGGGAAAGAAAAGCAGCAGGUUAAUACCCCGCUGUUCUGACGGUACCCAAAGAAUAAGCACCGGCUAACUUCGUG